GAUCACAUUAAGAAACUGAUGUGGUUAAUUAACUGGACUCCGGUGGAAGUGCCUUCCUCUACAUCUGACGGCUGCAUUGUAAAACACUUCCCGUCGAGGCGAAGUGCGCUGCAUGUAAUAUCACCAGCAUCCCCGCUCCCCUCCCCCGCUUCACACGAUCCUCAUUUCUCUUUAAAUUCACUGCAAAACUCAUCUGUCUUAACAAGUCAUUGAGACUCAUUUACAGGCUUCAAGACUCUACGAAAAAAUCUCCUAACCCGGUGAAUCCAUGCGCUGCAAUUUCUCUUGCUUAAAGGGAUUUCCUAUAAAGGUUUCGUUCCCUGCCAGAGAUCUCACUCUGUCCACAUCAUUCAGCGCCUCACCUGCUGUUCCACCGCAUGCCCAGCUCACUGCGUCUGCCUGCCUUUUUGCAAGAGUUCUAGCAACAAACCUCAGUUGCACAUUUGUGAAGUUGUGAAUAAACCCGAACUGUGAAUUUCUCUUGAAA